UACGUAGGUGGCGAGCGUUGUCCGGAUUUACUGGGUGUAAAGGGCGUGUAGGCGGGAUUGCAAGUCAGGAGUGAAAUGUAUGGGCUCAACCCAUGAAUUGCUUUUGAAACUGUAAUUCUUGAGUAUCGGAGAGGCAGGCGGAAUUCCGUGUGUAGCGGUAAAAUGCGUAGAUAUACGGAAGAACACCAGUGGCGAAGGCGGCCUGCUGGACGACAACUGACGCUGAGGCGCGAAAGCGUGGGGAGCGAAC
rnacentral:rRNA from 1 species